rnacentral:lncRNA from 1 species
UAAAAUUAAUAUGAAGACUACAGUCUACAUUGAAACCUCUAUUGCGUGUUUGUUGUUGUACUUUAAAUUAGUUCUUGCAUAAAAAGUUUAAUCAGUUUUGAAUUUCAUGUGCACGCUACCUCUACUAUUAUAUAUUAUUUGCGACAGCGUUCAGUUGUACGCUUGCUCGUCGAAACCAGGAAUAUGAAAUUUUACGUUGUGGCUUUGCUGCUGGUACUUGCGCUUGUGACAGAAUCUACACCAUCAAAUAAAGAUUUGCCUAAUAAAGCAGCCCGAAGUAGAUAUGUUAGCAUCUCGGGUCCUCCCAGUGUAAGUGGGAAUCGGAAGGUAGUAAAUUCUGUAAACAAGGAUAGGAUCCUGUAUAGGAUGCGUGACGAAUAUUCUGGACUAUUUGGACGCUAGAUUGCCAAUGAGAAACUUAAUUUGGAGAUGGUCAUUGUUACUGACGAACCGAUAGCUAAAUAAAUUGUUUAAGUAA